rnacentral:rRNA from 1 species
UACGUAGGGACCGAGCGUUGUCCGGAAUCAUUGGGCGUAAAGAGCGUGUAGGCGGCCCCUUAAGUCCUGCGUGAAAUCCUGCGGCUCAACCGCAGACGGUCGUGGGAAACUGGAGGGCUAGAGUGCGGGAGAGGAGAGUGGAAUUCCCGGUGUAGCGGUGAAAUGCGCAGAUAUCAGGAGGAACACCGGUGGCGAAGGCGGGUCUCUGGGCAGUAACUGACGCUGAGGAGCGAAAGCGUGGGGAGCGAACAGG